UACGUAGGCAGCGAGCGUUGUUCGGAGUUACUGGGCGUAAAGAGUGCGUAGGCGGUUGGCUAAGUUUGGUGUGAAAUCUCCCGGCUCAACUGGGAGGGUGCGCCGAAAACUGGCUGGCUAGAGUGUGGGAGAGGUAAGCGGAAUUCCUGGUGUAGCGGUGAAAUGCGUAGAUAUCAGGAGGAACACCUGCGGUGUAGACGGCUUACUGGACCAUGACUGACGCUGAGGCACGAAAGCGUGGGGAG
rnacentral:rRNA from 1 species